GAGUUUGAUCGUGGCUCAGGACGAACGCUGGCGGCGCGCCUAACACAUGCAAGUCGAACGGGGUUGAGAGGAGCUUGCUUUUCUUGACUUAGUGGCGAACGGGUGAGUAACGCGUGAGGAACCUGCCUCAAAGAGGGGGACAACAGUUGGAAACGACUGCUAAUACCGCAUAAGCCCACGGGGCUGCAUGGCCCUGAGGGAAAAGGAGCAAUCCGCUUUGAGAUGGCCUCGCGUCCGAUUAGCUGGUUGGUGAGGUAACGGCCCACCAAGGCGACGAUCGGUAGCCGGACUGAGAGGUUGAACGGCCAC
rnacentral:rRNA from 1 species